CAGUCGCCGCGGUAAUACGUAGGUCCCGAGCGUUGUCCGGAUUUAUUGGGCGUGAAGCGAGCGCAGGCGGUUAGAUAAGCCUGAAGUUAAAGGCUGUGGCUUAACCAUAGUACGCUUUGGAAACUGUUUAACUUGAGUGCAAGAGGGGAGAUUGGAAUUCCAUGUGUAGCGGUGAAAUGCGUAGAUAUAUGGAGGAACACCGGUGGCGAGAGCGGCUCUCUGGCUUGUAACUGACGCUGAGGCUCGAAAGCGUGGGGAGCAAACAGGAUUAGAUACCCGUGUAGUCCCUGUCUCUUAUACC
rnacentral:rRNA from 1 species